rnacentral:lncRNA from 1 species
GAAUACUUAUAAGGCUACUCGGUACACUCUAAGGCUUAGUUGGAACACCCAUAUAUUUGCCAGUGCUAAGUAAAUGUUAUAAGAAAAUAUUUUAACUAGAAUUUUACCAAGGUGCAUCUAUAGUAGUGUAGGUCACACCCAUAUAUCUAAUAGUCAUAUGACCACUUUUAUAUUGGAGACCUCAUAAUACACAUUAUAGCCAUACAUGGAACACUUAUAUCACUAUUCAGUACAAUUUAAACCUUGGGUGGAACACCCAUAUAUCUUACAGUGCUAAAUAAGUAUUAUAAGAGAGUACCUAUGGGGUCCGGAUCCUGAAGCUCAGGUCCGGACCCUCUCUGCGUAUCAGGAAAUAUAUGGUACGGAUUCCGGAUCGUGAAGCCCAGAUCCGGACCCUCCCUGCGUAUCAUGCAGAGAGGACCUACGGGGUCCGGAUCCUGAAGCUCAGGUCCGGAACCUCUCUGCGUAUCAUGCAGAGAGGAUCUACGGGUUCCGGAUCCUCCUUAGGGUCCGGAUCCUGACCAUUGAAAAAGUCCGAAUUUUCCAGUUUAUAUGUUUAUAACCAAUCCUAAGUCUUCUAAACACUUUUUCUCAAGUAUAAUUUCACCACAAAUUAUUAACCUACAUACCUGAGUAAACGAGCAUCACGAGCGAGUCUUUAUCUCCGAAAUCUUGUAAUCUUGGUUUCAAUUCUUCAUCUUCAACUCUUGAAGACUCCAAUCGACUUCACGAAAUCCACGGACUUAGACAAAUCCUUAACAAUCGCCACCUUUGGCGAUUUCGUGACAAAACUAAACGGUCAAACAAACUCAAAACAGAAAAACGGAAGAUGUAAGCAUGUGAUGUAAACAUCAUAAUGUAAGCACCAAAAAAAAUCAUCUGUAAUGUAAGCAUUGAUGUAGAUGCACAAAAAAAAAAAAACAUCGUAAUGUAAGCAUCAACAUGUAAACAUCAAUACAUGUAAGCAUCAACUGACCUAAACAUCAACUAAACGAGUAAGAAUCGUGAUGUAAUUCACCAAAAAAAAAACAUCGUAAUGUAAGCAAUCAAAUGUAAAACAUCAACUAUUAAACAUGCAUCAUCAUAAUAUCCCCCCUUUAUUCUUAGAAAAACGCCAAAACGGCAAAAGAGGACAGCCAAGGACACCUAAUCCGAAUCUGCAUCUGAGGAGGGAAAUCAGCACUGCAACAAAUCAUUUUUCAAAUAGAGCCUUCAUGACCUCAGAAAUCUGCUCAUUUUCUUGAAAGCUUGCUUGUUCAGAUAACAAUGCGAUUCAGGCUCGCCUGAAAAUCUGUUCAUGUUUAUAUUCGAGAGUCGCUCAUUGCCUCACGAUACACAUGAGGAAACUGAUACAUCCGUCUUCAGAUACCUCCUGAGAAGUUGCGAAGGUUCAGGGAGCCAGCAGGCAGGCUAAAUAGGGAGUGCUGCUGAAUAGAACGACGUGGAGGAGAAUGACGCAGAGGUGAUGAAGCUGAACAAGCAGACUUUAUAAAGAGUAGUCUCACUGAUAACCCCGAGACUAACAUACAUAAGAGCCUAUAUCGAGUGGUCCACACCCCCACGCUAAAGGCACGAAGGUAUUCGCAUAAUGAUCAAGGAUAGGAAGCGUGCAUUGUCUGAUUGGAUGAUUUCAUAUCCUUUGUCAUCCGACGCCAAUCAGAGAAAGAAGUCAAGUUAAUGACCUCGCUGAUCGUUACCUCUUCGGGUCGUCCAAGUAAAUACAUGUACAAAAGCAUGUACCCAACGUAUACAUUCGUCUUCAUUGUCGGGUAAAGAUAUUAUAGUCACAACAAAGUGAGCAAAACGAAUACUCCAAUUUCAAUUCUUUAACAAUACUGAUAUCCCUGUUUGCAUUGAGUAUUAGGCAUACAAACUCAUUACAAUACGACCGCCAGUCACAAAGUUGAGUCAAUAGGCCCAGCAUGCAAAUAAUCAACUCCAUCAGUACACACUUGAUGUCAAGAACCGAACCGACCCAAAUCCGGCUAAUAUCUCAGGGAGAUGCCACGGACAAUAAGCUCUUGAAACAAUAUGGUCACCAGUCAGUAUCAUGGAGGAUGUCAGCAGCACAUAUAAACAUCUCGAAGUCAGUUCAGAUAAUAACCCGUCUGCCUUCAGCGAAACGAACAAAUAGCCAACAAGAUCACCAUUCAUAUAAAGGAUUCAACACGGCGCUUUUUAAUUAGCUGAGGAACACCACAUCUCGCUCGUCAAUACAUACUUUGCGAAUAGAACAUUGCCUACGUUAGAAUCAAACUGGAGGCUCACGACUCUCAUCACCAUUCGGUCUCUUCUACGCGGGUCGACUGUUCAAUUUUUCCCUUUCCGUUCCUUUUCCUUCUCUUUUCUUUCCUUUUUCUUUUCCUUUUCCUUUCCUUCUCUUCUCCGAAGCGCCAGCCCUUUCCCUUUUCUUGACAACACCUCAGGAGCCAUGCGCUUCCCGUCCGAUCGGAUUCUGCUUCGACUCCUCUUCGGCAGCAUACUCAAAUGUCCACAUCUUCCACAGGAUUGCUCGAGCUAGUUGCUGAGCGAGGAACGGCGACGUUUCCCCCACGCCCACCACCAGCCCAUCAUGAACAUCAAGUGACGUAAUAAAAGAAAACUACAUAUAGCUGACAAAAAAAAAAAAAAUUCCUGUCUUAUAGACCAAAUUUGUAAACAAAAUUGACAUCAUAAAUAUCAUUUAGUAAAAAAAAAUUAUAAAACACUUUAAAAAUAAUUAUAGAAAAAAAUCCAGGCCUAUAGAACGUUAGCAGAAAAUAUGCCUCACAAGAAAAUAUCCAUGUCAAAAACGUCAUAAUAAAAUUGCAGACAAUCUGUCAUUAUCAAUAAACUAGACAUGAAGCUCUUGAUGUUUAAAAAUGAAACAGAUUUGGGGUCAUAUACUAUCCAAAUCAUGCAAAAACACAAUAUGAUAUUUUCCAACAAGUCUAGAUCAAAAACCAACGAAAGAAAGAAACGAUCUAACAAGUUAUAUGAAUCAAUUACAAAAAUAGGCACAAUUUCGGAAUAUUCACCAAGAAACAAAGCAAAUCUGAAAACCUUACCGAAAAUGAGAUGAAAACCAAGAGAAAACUUAAGCAAAUUCACCCUCGAGGUUUCAAGUGUUCGUGGGAGAUGUUUUGAGAGAAGAUUGGGAAAGUAUGAGAGAGAAUGGACCAAAGAGAUUAUAUGAAGUCGGGCGGAGGGUCCGGACCUUCCAGCAAGGGUCCGGAUCGUGAAGCCCAGGUCCGGACCCUCUCUGCGUAUCAUGCAGAGAGGAUCUACAGGGUCCGAAUCUUGAAGCACAGGUCCGGACCCCCUCUGCGUAUCAUGCAGAGAGGACCUACCGGGUCCGGAUCCUGAAGCACAGGUCCGGACCCUCUCUGCGUAUCUUGCAGAGAGGAUCUACGGGGUCCGGAUCCUGAAGCACAGGUCCGGACCCUCUCUGCGUAUCUUGCAGAGAGGAUCUACGAGGUCCGAAUCCUGAAGCACAGGUCCGGACCCUCUCUGCGUAUCAUGCAGAGAGGACCUACGGGGUCCG